GACGAACGCUGGCGGCGUGCUUAACACAUGCAAGUCGAACGGAAAGGCCCUGCUUUUGUGGGGUGCUCGAGUGGCGAACGGGUGAGUAACACGUGAGUAACCUGCCCUUGACUUUGGGAUAACUUCAGGAAACUGGGGCUAAUACCGGAUAGGAGCUCCUGCUGCAUGGUGGGGGUUGGAAAGUUUCGGCGGUUGGGGAUGGACUCGCGGCUUAUCAGCUUGUUGGUGGGGUAGUGGCUUACCAAGGUUUUGACGGGUAGCCGGCCUGAGAGGGUGACCGGCCACAUUGGGACUGAGAUACGGCCCAGACUCCUACGGGAGGCAGCAGUGGGGAAUAUUGCACAAUGGGCGGAAGCGUGAUGCAGCAGCGCCGCGUGCGGGAUGACGGCCUUCGGGUUGUAAACCGCUUUCGCCUGUGACGAAGCGUGAGUGACGGUAAUGGGUAAAGAAGCACCGGCUAACUACGUG
rnacentral:rRNA from 1 species